UUCAUGUAUUGUAAACUGACUGAAAAUCAGGAUGUUGACUUGGUCAAAGCAGCCCCUGGGAGCACCCUGAGGCUGAAGUAAUGAGGUUCUGGGUUGGUACCGCUCCCCUGCCAAACGCUAGAAGGAUGUGUGAAAACUCAUGUCAAUCUGACUGCUCUUUGAUCGUAUUUUGGAGUGUGCCAUGAGGGGAAAAGAUCCCUGCGUGAAAAAGGAAAAUCCGAGUGUGCAGAGGAAACAGAGGACACGCUAGAACUCCUGACGAAGCCAAACGCUGCCAGGCGGCCCACGGGGAAACGGUUGGUGCUGAAGCCAGGGGCGCGAAGGCCUGACUGGCUUGCCUUGGGAAGCAGGGAUCUGGAUGUCACGGCCUGUGCUGAUGCUGGAGCCUCAGGAGCAUGAUGAAUGAAAACCUCAUCAUCAGCUAGAAUAACACACACAAAAAGCAAAACAAAAUAUCAGUUUGCUUAAUAAAAGCAGAGAAAGGCAGAAGGUAUCCCAACCAUCAUGCAGUAAACCCCCAUAAUUUGCAGGUUCAUGGGGACCGAGCCUUACCGCGAAUACAAAAAAAAACUUGAGUAAUUGAUGUCCCUCUAAAAGUAUUUAUAUUUUUCUGUAUUAAUUGUUUACACAAUAAAUAUACCUCAAACCAGAAACACUUUAAAUCAUUUCAAACUCAUCUCACAUUAGCCUUACAAAUAAAAGGCUUUCAGAGGCUUGAGCCAUUCUGCAAACCAGAAACAUACACAAGCGACAAAAGAUUUUCUCCUAACAACUAGUGAUGGCGAGAUGAAGCGUCAUGAAGCAUUGUAACACUUCAGCCAUUGGUUUGAGUUAAUGGUUCCUUUCUUGAUGCUUCAUUGCACACGAAACCACCUGCUGGCCAUGUACAUAAUCAGAGGCAGCUGUAUCUUUACCACAUACAGUAUGUGCUGCGUUGCUUUUUGGCUCUUGUGAAUGACCAUGUAUUACAAAACAAUGUUUGAUCAAGAAAUCUCCCAACAUAAAGUGUAAAAUAUAUUAUUGAACGUAUUCUGUGUGCUUAAAAUGUUCAUCAUCACUGGUAUUGCAGGUUGUAUAAUGUUUUUCUGUCACUUUGGGAACAUGGCAUGGGCUUAAGAGGGCAGAGGAUUUUGAAAGGACUUAUUUAGAAAUAACAGUUUAUCAUCAUUUUUGUGUUAAGUGAUUAAUUCAAGAGCAAGAUUUUUAAAUUGGGUACAGUAAUUUCUCCUCUUCCAAUGAGGUUUUAUUUUACCUUGCUUUCUGUGAACACAAUAAAUACU